rnacentral:lncRNA from 1 species
GUAGAUGGGUUAAAUCUUUUGUACUUCUCGAUGUAGCCUGGGUCCAUUUUGGGUGGAGUUGAGUCCUGCUGAAAAUGAACUGAAUUAUGCUGGAGAGGGACCGGAUUGCCCUGUGGUGGCACCUGAUUGUAUGGCGGAGUCACCGGAUUGUACUGUGGCAGUGUCGAAUGAUACGGAAGAUGAAGAGGGUUGUACCGAGGUGGUAGUAGAUCCUCUCACUAUAG